GGGACUGCGGCUGGAUCACUCCUUAUAGGAAAAAUUCCCAACUCGCUCUUCACUGCAAGGAACAAGGGCUUAACGCCAUGCUCUUGAGAAGAAAACGUCAGGGGCCUGUAGCUCAGGUGGCUAGAGCGCACGCCUGAUAAGCGUGAGGUCGAAAGUUCAAGUCUUUCCAGGCCCACCACUUAUCAGGGGGUAUAGCUCAGCUGGGAGAGCAUCUGCUUUGCACGCAGAGGGUCGACGGUUCGAUUCCGCCUACCUCCACCACAAGCUUGCUGACGUACRGUCCAUGAUUGGUCAUUGRCGCGAAGAUUUCGCGGCAGUCAUCCAGGCAUGGCCUGGUCGCAYCGGYCGGAAACACCGGCRGGUGCUGCUCAUUUACAAUUGAAUAGGGGAAUGGGAAGGGAAUAGUAAAGUUCUUGAGAAAUAAGAUAUCAAGGGCAACAGGUGAAUGCCUUGGCGCUGAGAGGCGAUGAAAGACGCGGUAAGCUGCGAUAAGCAUCGGGGAGGAGCUAAACAUCCUACGAUCCGAUG
rnacentral:misc_RNA from 1 species